rnacentral:lncRNA from 1 species
UUUAAUUGCAGUGCUCUGGAAUUCAUUUCAGUUUCAAGUGCCACUGGCAUGAAAAAGCCCUUCAUUUCUAGCAUGUUGUUGAAGCACUAUAAAGAUGAGAACUCUUCACUUCUGCCAGGAAAGUUUGCUGAUGGGCUGAAUGUCUUGAGGAUGAAAAGGUUGCCCUUUGUGAUACUACGCAUCAGUGGUACGAUAAGUAUAUUGAUCAGGUACCAGAUUUAAAAACAUCCCCUUCCUAAGCUGAGUUUUCUGCAUAACACCUGCUGUAAAGAUGUUGUGGAGCAUCUCUUUCCAAGUCCCUUUGCUUGAAGACAUUGGCAGCUGAAACUCAUAGUCACUUCAUAUAACCUGGAAAAAUGCAUAACUGAAUGCAUUUUAGGGAUGCAUAAGGGCUGUGACCUGAAGAGUAUAUUACAAAAUCAUUUAAUAGGUAAUAUUUAUGGAACCUAGCUUGUAAUGACAGAGUAUUUUUUACUUCAACAGCUGUGUGUUUUACUCUCUUGUGCCAUAUGCUGUU